AUUCCUCAUUCUGAAGAGUUUGUGUAGCCACAAAGCGUUCCAUCAUAGAUUCUAUCCUUGAGUGAGUUUGCGUCUCAAUGAAAUCCUCCAUUAAUAUUUCCAGGUUGGAUUUAUAGGAAACUUGCGAUUCCUCAAAAUACUGGGAGUGAUAAUCGUAGAGAAAGUUUGGGUGAUACAUAGUGAUAGAGAAAAAAAAUUGCCUUAGUCUCU
rnacentral:lncRNA from 1 species